rnacentral:rRNA from 1 species
UACGCAGCGUGCAAGCGUUGUUCGGAUUUACUGGGCGUAAAGGGCGCGUAGGCGGCGCGUAAAGUCGGACAUGAAAUCAUUGGGCUUAACCCAAUGGCUGUGCCCGAUACUUGCGUGCUUAGAGUGCGGGAGAGGCAAUCGGAAUUCUCGGUGUAGCGGUGAAAUGCGUAGAUAUCGAGAGGAACUCCAGUGACGAAGGUGGGUUGCUGGACCGACACUGACGCUGAGGCGCGAAAGCUAGGGGAGCAAACGGG